rnacentral:rRNA from 1 species
AUUGAACGCUGGCGGCAUGCCUUACACAUGCAAGUCGAACGGCAGCGGGGGCUUCGGACUGGUGGCGAAUGGGGAAGGGGUGUGUAAUGAAUUGGCAAGUGGUGGGUAGUGGGGGCUAGACAGGCGAAAGAAGGCUUCAUACGGCAUAAGAGUUGAGGGGGGAGGUGGGGGACCGUCAGGCGAUGCGAUAUUGGGGUAGCAGAUGUCGGAUUAGCUGGUUGGAGGGGUAAAGGCUUACCAAGGCGACGAUCCGUAGCUGGUCUGAGAGGACGACCAGCCACACUGGGACUGAGACACGGCCCAGACUCCUACGGGAGGCAGCAGUGGGGAAUUUUGGACAAUGGGGGCAAGCCUGAUCCAGCCAUGCCGCGUGCGGGAAGAAGGCCUUCGGGUUGUAAACCGCUUUUGUUAGGGAAGAAAACGUUUUGGCUAAUACCCCGGAGUGAUGACGGUACCUGAAGAAUAAGCACCGGCUAACUACGUG